UAAGGAUGUACGGGACUGACGAUUUUGAAAUUACCGCGCAACUCCGAAUGACGUAAAUAAAUCCUAUGUCGUUCGCAUCUCCUAUUUGAUUCUGAAUGUAUGUUAGAUAAUAUCUACAAUGCAAUUAAUUCUAUAGAUAUAUUUUACAUAAACUAUGACAAAAAUAUUAUUAUAUUCGAAAUAAAAACAAAUCGCGUAAAUUUUACGACUUUAAUUACUUUUCGGCAAUGUAAACAUAGUGAGACUUUUGAAACAUUGAAAUGCGGGGGAAACGCGGAUUUCAGUCAGCUAAAGCGAUCCAGCGUUACAUCAAGGUUUUUUGACCCACAGAAGAUGAUGGAAAGCUGCCUCACCAAGACACCAGACGCUGGAUCAUCUAUAUUUGCAAUCGCAGACGCAAGACAUGUGUUCAGGUUUUGAAUAUAAUGUCUCCAGUAUGGAUAUGUUUGACGAUUGUUACCAUGGAAACGAACUCACAGACCAACAUGUAUGUCAAAACAGGUGGGUUUUUUUGGUAAAUUAAAUAUAGUGGUACCCAUUUCAAUCAAUUUUAGAAUUUUUAAAUUAGUCAUACCCUUCCGUUUUUGGUGGGUUUUUUUUACAGGUUUUGAACAUGAUGUCUCCAGCAAGGAUAUGUAUGAUGAUGGUUACCAUGGGAACGAACUCACAGACCUAUGUCAAAAAUGUCAUUUUCUGAUAGAAUAGACAUAAUGCUAUCCAUUUCACUUAAUUUUAGAAUUUUUUAAUUAUUCUGAUGUCAGCCAUACACUUCCGGGUUCUCUACAGGUUUCAAAUAUGAUGUCUCCAGCAAGGAUAUGUUUGAUGAUGGUUACCAUGGUAACGAUCUCACAGACCUAUGUCAAAAAUGUCUUUUUCUGAUAGAAUAGACAUAAUGCUAUCCAUUUCAUUCAAUUUUAGAAUUUUUUAAUUAUUUUGAUGUCAGCCAUACACUUCUGGGUUCUCUACAGGUUUUAAAUAUGAUGUAUCCAGCAAGGAUAUGUUUGAUGAUGGUUACCAUGGGAACGAUCUCACAGACCUAUGUCAAAAAUGUCAUUUUCUGAUAGAAUAGACAUAAUGCUAUCCAUUUCACUCAAUUUUAGAUUUUUUUAAUUAUUCUCAUGUCAGUCAUACCUUUCCUUUUUUUGUUUACAGAUUUUGAACAUGAUGUCUCCAGCAAGGAUAUGUUUGAUGACGGUUACCAUGGAAACGAACUCACGGACCUAUGUCAAAAAUGUCUUUUUCUGAUAAAAUAAAUAUAAUGCUAUCCAUUUCA